rnacentral:rRNA from 1 species
AUUGAACGCUGGCGGCAGGCCUAACACAUGCAAGUCGAACGGUAACAGGAAGCAGCUUGCUGCUUCGCUGACGAGUGGCGGACGGGUGAGUAAUGUCUGGGAAACUGCCUGAUGGAGGGGGAUAACUACUGGAAACGGUAGCUAAUACCGCAUAACGUCGCAAGACCAAAGAGGGGGACCUUAGGGCCUCUUGCCUUCGGAUGUGCCCAGAUGGGAUUAGCUAGUAGGUGGGGUAACGGCUCACCUAGUCGACGAUCCCUAGCUGGUCUGAGAGGAUGACCAGCCACACUGGAACUGGGACACGGUCCAGACUCCUACGGGAGGCAGCAGUGGGGAAUAUUGCACAAUGGGCGCAAGCCUGAUGCAGCCAUGCCGCGUGUAUGAAGAAGGCCUUCGGGUUGUAAAGUACUUUCAGCGGGGAGGAAGGGAGUAAAGUUAAUACCUUUGCUCAUUGACGUUACCCGCAGAAGAAGCACCGGCUAACUCCGUG